rnacentral:piRNA from 1 species
UGACUAGAGAGGUACAUGAUAUGAAGCA